UACGUAGGUCGCAAGCGCUGUCCGGAUUUACUGGGCGUAAAGAGCGCGCAGGCGGCUGGCCAAGUCCGAUGUGAAAGCUUCCGGCUUAACUGGAAAAUUGCAUCGGAAACUGGUCGGCUUGAAGGUGGGAGAGGGUAGCGGAAUUCCCGGUGUAGUGGUGAAAUGCGUAGAUAUCAGGAGGAACACCGGUGGCGAAGGCGGGACUCUGGGCCGAUACUGACGCUGAGGAGCGAAAGCGUGGGGAGCGAACAGG
rnacentral:rRNA from 1 species